CUUCAGUCCCGGCGCCCGCCCGCUCCGCGGAGGCCGGAUGCCCGCUCCCGGGCGGUGGCACGCGCCGCGCUUCCCGGUCACGUCCUGUCGCACCCGCCCGCCCCUGGGGCCGCGUUCGUCCGCCGCCGGAGGCUGAGCGCUGUGUUCCCACGCUCGCCCGGGACCCCGCCGCACGCGCCUCUCCCGCAGGUCCGUCCGUGCCUUCGCGCGGCGCCGCCGCUCGGUCCUCUCGCUCUACUUUUUCCGUCUCUGCUUUCGCUCCCACCCUCCCGCUCCAGGGGCCCUGCCAAGCGCUGCUCCCCCGGCGCCGCCCCGCCCCGCCCCGCCCCAGCCGGCGCCUCUCCCUGGACCCGAAGUCUGGCUGCGCGCGUGGACCCUGCCGCCUUCUGGGCUUUCACCUGCGCCCAUUUCCCCCGAACGCCGCCGUCUGGCACGAAGCGCACCCCGCGUGGGGGCGUCUCGCCGCUUCCUCCGCGGUCCCUGAGUCCGAGGCCGUCACGCCCAGGGCUGGGCGGUGGCCGGGUCCCUGCCCGCAGGGAGCUUCCGCUUGUCCCUGGCGAGUUCCGUAUUCUGCUGGCCCCCUGGCUCUGCCGUUUCUAUGCGGUUCUCUUCUUUCUCACUUGGUUCUUUAGUGUUUUCAUCCUCUGAUCAGGGUUAAUCAAACAAGUUUCAUUCCCGGUGGUAAACAUUGUUACCCGUGAACACCGCCACCGCCGGGACUAGCGAGCGUUGUGGCAAACGGGCAUUAGCAGCGUGUCCAACACAUCCCCACCAGCAAGGUUAUUGAGCUUGGUUCGUGACUGCCGCACGUGCGGCCCUCGGUUUAACAUGCUUGAAAAAUGGGUUGGACAUGUGGCCGCAAGCCACAAUAGGGACAAGCCUUUUAAAUUUAUCGCUGAAUCACAGAGGCCACAGCAUUCGUCCUGAUGCAAAAGUCCUUUUAAAGUUACUUUUAACAGUUAUCCUUUGAUGUACUCUCCUGUCAAAAAGUCAGGCUCUGGUGGCUGCUCUAAUGGGGUGCACAUCCUGUCCACCCCCUUGAUUGUUUUCCAACUACCUGCUGGGAAAGAAGGCAAUUUCCUACCACAGUACCCUAUUUCUCCAAAACUUCUACACAGUGCGGCUCCUCCCAAGUACCCCAUUGCCACAGAAAUAAAAUCCAGCAUAUGAAAGUGGCACUGUCUAUGACACUCUGUACCAGUGUAUUGUAUACUAUCGAGCUUCUUCCUGUAAUUGUUUGUGUGUAUGUGUGAACCUCUUCCCCAGAGCAGUAUCAAUUCUUUUAAAUCCGAGAGCAUUUUAAGUAUUCCCUCCUCCAAGACUUUCCAUUGAACUCGGCAAACAGAAGGGGUUUAAUAAAUGUGUUGAUGCGACUUGAGGCAAGCAUUGCUUUAGUGAAAUUUGAUUGCGUUUUUAAUGAUUAAAAAAUAAAGAAAACAAUUGUCUGGCAGACAUCUCACUAAAACAAUGGUUAAUAAUUAUGGUGGUAAUGAUUUGAAUGGCAGCCUUGACACCCUGAGGCAACCAAAGGGACUCAUCGAUUCUCCUCCAACUGCUGCUUAUGUGGAUACAAAAGAAUCAUCCACCAGACUUUCAGCAUUAGGGACAUUGUGUAUCACAGAGCAGCUGGUUGGCUAAAUAAGGCUGUCAGCUGUCCCUGAUACCAACCAACCCCCCUGAAGCUGAAGAGUGACUAGAAAGGACUGUCCCCAACCUUCAGAGGUAGAAAUCGGGUGAUGUUCUGUUUUACACUGGGAGCUACUGAGCUAUGUGCUUAAUGUCUUUUUGUGCAGAAAAUGGAAUGAGAGGCCACCUGGGUGACCACUGCUGCUCCCGGGAAUCUAGCUGGGAUAUGUUUUGGUGGUGGGGCAAGAGGAGGCCUAUCCCAGGAGAGACAUUCCAAAGCAGCCUGCCUAGAUUUGAUUACCCUCUCUCUGAGAUAACCUUAAGCCCUUUCAGUGUUUCAUCAUUUUAAAGGUUUCCCUUUUAACUUUUCCAAGCAUUUUAAUUUGUAUGUUGAGCUCACCUUAUCUGUAUGUAAGGAGUUUCUUGGGUAGAGAGGGAGGGGAUAAUACAUGUUAGAAUGUUUUGAACAGAGGAAAUGCACAUUCGCUAUAUCACCUAAGUUAAUCUUCAUAACAACCUCAGAAAGGGUAAAGGUUAUGAUCUCCCUUUUUGAGAUGAGUAAACAAAGGGAGAGAGGCAUGGUAAGCACUCUGCCCAGUUACAUGUGACACUGCUCUCUUGUUUGUCUCUCUCCCUUUUGCUCAUUUUCAUCCUCUUUUCUUUUUACCCUAUAAUAUCCAAGUUGUUAUAGUUUCCCCUUUACAGAUAAGUAAACUUACAAAAAUCACUUUUGUUACCUUUAUAGAUGAGAAAAGUGAGGCUUGGUCACAAGCUCAGGGAGAGGCUGUGGUCGGACUGAAGUCUCCCUAGCUCCAAUGCCAGUGAAAAAAAUCACAAACUUCCUCUCUCAAUGCAUAAAAAAAUUUCCCUUUCCCUCACCUCUGUCUGAAUGUUACAUCUACUUUUAUCUUCCUCCCCACACAACAUCAAGCUCCUACUACAUAGUAGGUAUUGAUGUGAUCAUAUCUUAAAAAGUUUGUGUAGAUACAAUUGUAUCCUUAUUGUAACUUUUCAUUCAGCGAGUGCUGUUUUUGCCCCAUGGUGGUAGGUCAAGCAGAGGCAUGAGACAGUGCUGUCUCCUGGUGCCCCUGACGGUUGGCUUAGAAGUCUAUGUGCCCACCUACUCAUGGUCUGUGCUUUGUGUAGGGCCAGAUGCAUCUUUCAGCUAUAGGAAACAUAACAGCAAAGGAUCCCACAGUAAACCAAGGCCCAAGAUAAUGUCAAUGUAAGUUAAGUGCCCUUCUCUGUGUUGUAGUCUUAUUUUGGUGCGUAUCAUUUACUAUAUUUUAUUGAACUUGUCUGUUAUAUAGCUGUCUUCCUGGUGGGUAAUAACUCCUUCCUAGACUAUAAGCUCAAUGAGGGGAGGGACCAUAUGAGUCUUCUUUACUGCUGGCUCCUUUGCCUGGCACAUAGUAGGUACUCAAAAAAUGAUUGUUAAAAGAAUAAACAGAAUAAGCGAAUAAAUAAGUGGCUGAAUGAGUAAAUAAACCUCUCAGGGUCAGGAACCAUAUCUUCCAUCAGUGUCUGAAAAAGCAGCCAGCAUAAAAGGGUGUUGUGUAAACAUAUGUGAAUGAAACUAUUGAACUAACCUUGGAGUUGAUCUGAUAUAUUAGAGGUUCUUAGCAUCAUUAAGUUCCUAUUUUUGGCUUAUCAGUCAUCGGCUGGUUGUAGUUUCUGAGUAUUAUCUCUUUCGUCUUAGUGUCUCUGAAUAUGUGCUUUUAUUGUAAUUAAGAUUCUUAAGUUGUUAAUACUUCUGGCCAAUGGAAUGCAAGCUCACAUCUGUUGCAUGGCCAGGCAACACUAGCAACACUGCAUUAUUCCAAGCCUGGGCCAUUCUACUUUCAGGCUUUUGUGCUUCGCAUUGUUUGCUCUGCUUCUCAUAAUUCUCCCUUAUGUUUUCUUCUUUGCUCCUCAACUCAAAGAAUUCCAACUCAUCUUUCAAGGCCAAGAUUAAACAUCGUUUCCUCCCAGAAGCCUUUCUCAAUCCUACUUUUCCUCUUUGCUGUGAUUCUUCAUCACUUCAUGGGUCUAGUUAUCUCUCCCAUGAUGCUUUGUUCAUACUGCUUACAAAAUGUGUCAGUAGAUACUUGUUUCUACACGAUAGUUUCCUCUUCUAUCACGUUAGCUUGGAGAAAAUGAAACUUGUCCUGAGUAUAUUGGCAUGUCUGUAUUAGUCAGGGUUCUCUAGAGACAGAACUAAUAGGAUAGAGAGAUAGGGGGAUUGGCUCAUGUGAUUAUGGAGGCUGAGAAGUUCCUCAGUAGACCAUCGGUAAGCCUGGAGACCCAGGGAUGCCAGUAGCAUGGAGGGCCUCAGAACCAGGGAAGCCCUUGGCGCACCUCUCACUCUGAGGCUGAAGACCUAAGAAGCCAGGAGGCCACUGGUGCAAGUCUCAGAGUUCCAAGGCUGGAGAACCUAGAGUUCUGGUGGCCAAGGACGGGAAUAAGAAGGGUGUCUCAUCUCCAGAGGACAGGCAAGAGAGCCCCCUCCUUGCCUUUUUGCUCUAUCAAGACAACCAGCCUUUUAGAUGGUGCCCACCCACAUUGAAGGAGGAUCCCCCCAAUUCAGUCCACUAACUCACAUGCCGAUAUCCUCUGGAAAUACCCUCAGAGACAUACCCAGAAAUAAUCCUUUACCACCUAUCUCUUAAUCCAGGCAGGUUUUUACCUAAAAUUAGCCAUCACAAUCACCAAAGUCAAACAUAGUGCCUGCUGGAGACCUACAUGUGUCGAAUCAAUCAAAAAAAACUCAGUGUGGUGUGGAGAAUACAGAGUCACUUCAGCCUAGGUCCGAGUUACAGCUCAAGCCACUUAUUACCUGUUAACCUUGCACAUAUUAUUUAACCUUUCUGAGUCCUUGUUUUCUAAGGACUCAUUUGUAAAGCAAGGUUGAUAAAAAUAAUAGAAAUUAACUUUUGAAAAUGGCUUGAGAAUUUAAUAAGUUAACACCUUUACAGUUGUGUAGAACAGUGCCAGAGGCACAGCAGGCGCACAAUAAAUAUUAGCCCUCAUUAUAAUAAUCGUCUUACAUAGCGAGAUUGGUCUCCUAGAAGGGCAGUGAAAAUAUGAUCAAAAGAAUCACCAGUUGCUGGUCCGGAGCCUUGAAGGAGCACCUUGAGUUGAAGAAGCGUCAACAAUUUUGAUUGACGUUAGAUGCACAGGUCUAUGCCUAUUGGCUAGCCCUUAAUUUGCUUGUUCUUUGCAUUUCAUUGGCGAUAAAAUGCUAAUGGACCCAUGUCUCUGACACCUAGCUCAAAGCCCAGCUUCCUAGGAUGCUGUUUCAACUUGACCCAGCUAAAUAGGCAUAGGAGCCCCAGUCAUCAAAUAAAGCAGUCGAGCAACGAAGGUCUGUCUGUGCUGUCUGGUCAAGGGUUAGAUUUGGAUAGUUAGGGAGCUGGAAGAUACUGGUAUGGGAUUGUGGGGGUGGAGAGAUGGAUUUGGCUUAGGGGAACAGAAGGAAGGCUCCAGCAGCAGGAAAUAAUUUUUUUUUUACUAGCCUGUGCUUUGAUUAGGGGUAAAUAUUAGAAGCAGAAACUGCCUCAAGGUAGAGGGGUAAUAGGACCGAGGGUUUUAGGAACGGGGUAUCCUGCCACAGAGAAGACUAUGUGAUCUGCUACGAGUUUUCAUCAAAUGAAUAACAAGAUGCACAACAUUCUCUACUCCUCCCUCUGCAGUUGCUGCUGGAGACCAUUCAGGUAGGGCGCCCUUGAAAGCACUAGAGAAAGCUGGGUUCCGUGUUACAUUGUAAAUCGCUUGCAGGCUUGUUUCUUUGAGAGCAUAUACUCUUUUGGGUCCUGAGAGGGCCCCUUUGUAACUUGCCUGCCUCUCCUCUUUGAGAGCAGAUAACAUACAUGCAGUGGGCAUAUACCAUGCACCAAGACCUCACUAUGCUAGUGGAUUGGCUUUCGAUUGCUGCCAUAACAAAUUACUCCAAAUUUAGGGGCUUAAAACAACACCCAUUUAUUAUCUCACAGUUCUGUAGGUCAGAAGUCCAGUAGACUCAGCUGGUUUCUCUGUUUCAAGUCUCACAAGACUGAAUCAGGCAUUCGCUGAGCUGCUUUCCCUUCCCGAGGCUCUAGGGGAGAGUCCAUUUCCAGGUUAAUCCAAGUAGUUGGCAGAAAUCAAUGUCUGUAGGACUGAGGUCUGUUUCCUUGCUGGCUGCCAUCUGGGCGCCUCCUUUGGUAUUUAGAGGCCUCUUUUGAGUCACUGUAGGUAGUCCCUGCACACCUUAGAACUAGGAGUGCCAUAUUAAAUUCUUCGGACACGGGAUAUCUUCUGUCUCUGCUUCUUGUGCCUCAUCUCUGACCAACUCUUCUGCCUUCCACUUCUGCCUUUACGUGCUCAAGUGAUUAGAUGGGCCCCCUUGGUAAUCCAAGAUAAUCUUCCUAUUUUAAGGUCGGUAAUCUCAAUCACAUCCACACUGAGACGUCUCUUUGCCAUGUAAAGUAACAUAUUCACAAGUUUGCAGAGAUUGGGGCUUGGAACUCUUUGGGGGACAUUAUUCUACCUACAACAGCUAGGCUUUUUUUGUUUGUUUGUUUUGUUUUUUUCAUAUUUUUCUUCCUUAAUCCACACAAGAGCCUCGUAAAGGAAGCAUUGUUAUACCCAUCAUAUGUGUAUACAAGCUGGAGUUCAGCGAGGUUCCUAUUACCGCUGAUAAAUGGGGAAUCUGGGGUUUGAAUCCUGCUUCAGAGCUCACAUUCCUUCCUCUGCCAGAGAGGGAGGGGUGGAAGCAAAGCCAUCGUGUGACCCGCCACUCUCAUUGCAUUUCCCACCAUUGGUUGCACUAGAGCUGCUUCCCAAUUUAGCAAGGUUGUCACUGUGUCCAUCAAAGAUGUCUGACUCUCCUCCUGGGUACAUGGUGUGUGUGUCUGCUGGGUCUCAGCAGGAAACAGAUGGCACACUCAAGUGAAGUUAUUGAGGAGAGAUUAGUAAAAGGACUGUCUGCAAGGUUGUGAGUGGGGCAAUGGGAAACCAACAAGGGAUGGUGGAGCACGUUGGCUAACAAUAGCUGUUGUACCCCGUUCCUAGAGGAGUACAGGGAAGAAGUGUUACCAGAACCCCAAGAGAAAGGAGAAACUAAAGGAGGGGCUGCCUGGCUGGAGCUGUGGCCGUCAAUAGUGGAACACCGCUACAACCAGCCUGGCAGGGAGGUAGGUGGCAAAGUACAUGACUUCACUCUCUUCCCUCCCUCUGAACCCCCUCUAUUGGCAAAUCUUAACCAGACGCCAGAGGAAAGGGGAGUCUGUUUAUACAAUUCUUGAAUUUUAACUUUCCAGGCUCAGAGCAGAGUAUAGGAAAGUAGAGAGUGGAUCUGAGAGAGAUUAUCCAGCACUGUCAGACUGUCCUUCCCCAUGCCGUUGAAAUCAGGUAUGGCAAUGGGACUUGUUUGGGCCAGUGUGUUCAUUUCCUGGGGAGAGCAUAGGAAAUUACCAUAAACAGGAGGCUUAAGACAAGAGAAGUUCAUUCUCUCACUAUUCUGAGGGCCAUGCUCUCUCCGAAGGCACCUGAGAAGAAUCCUUCCUUCCUAGCCUGGCAGCCCUUGGCAUUACUAAACUUGAGCAGUAUCACGCCAGUCUCCGCCACUGUCUUCACAGGGUCUUCUCUGUCUGUGUGUGCUUGCCUCUUCUUAAAAGGACAUCCAUCAUUAGAUUUAGGGACCAAUGUAGGUAUCAUCUUGAGAUUCUUUGCUACAUAUACCUGCAAAGACCCUAUUUCCAAAUAAAGAUCAUGUUCUGAAGUUUGGGGUGGGCAUGAAUUUGUAGAGGGGGUAGGGUGGAUAACAUUCAACUCCCGAUAACCAUGUACAUCUGGACCAAAGUUUCUAGGCCUAGCAUGCAAUUUUUUCUUUUUUUCUUUCCCUCUGCCAUGGCAAUCAGCAAUGCUCAGACAGCAGCUGCCCCCUCAGCCUAGGUCCUGGAGUGAAGAUAAGGCAGAGCAGAGCCCCCGCUGACCUUCAAAGGAAACAUAAUAUAAACAGAAGUAAAUGCCUCAUCCCUCCUGAAGGAUACAAUGUACGGUAGUUAAUGACCACAGCCCAUCCCUUCAAAGAUAUUGCCAGCAGCCCCUUAAGUCCCUACUUCCUUACUCACACAAACACCUUCGAAUUGACCAAAAGCUCUCUCCAGACUCAUUGUUUCUUUUCAUCCCAGCUCCAUUGGCAACAUUUUACUGCACCCUAAUUCCUCUUUGGGGCCAAGGUAUAGAAAUAAAUAGAUCUCCAAAGACUGCCUUUUGUAUCCUUGGAGGGACAAGUUUUGUAGGAAAAGAAAAUGAAGGCUUGAGCACAUGGGUGUUCUCUGAAAUGAGCUGCAGAGUAGCGGUCUGCCUUUCAGACUGACAAUUUCAAAUGAAUCCUCCACCAGAAGCAGCUAGGAAUGUCUGCUGAGAAAACGGUUUUCUGCCCACACAGGGCUCUCUAGGUACACCCUUCCCUGCCCUGCUGUGACCACGUGUGCAAAACCGCUUGAGAAACUGUGCCUCAUGAUGUUUGUUUAUUGAUGCUACUACAUGAGCUCUCUGAGCCCUUCUGCCAAUCUUCUUUUCUCUAAUACUGAUCUCAUUGCUGUGGGUGUGGGCCAAUGGACUCAGACUCUCAUUAGCGGGGAUUUAAAAGUGAAAUGGAUAAACCAUGUUUGAACUGUCAGACGACAGACAGACGUGUCUGGAAUCAUGAGAAAGGCUGCCUGAUUCCAGGCCCCGUCCCCCUCACUGAUCUAUCUUGAACAGCCCCUGAGUUUGACCGCUCCCACAUGCCAACUCCUGCUGCAGAAGCUGCAUCUUCCUUCAUCUCUUCCCCAGCCACAGGGCCUGGGAACCACAAUGGUAGCAGGAAAGAAAAAAGUUAGACUCACACUGAGCUUAAAGGGGUGGUUCUCAAAGGGUGCUACUUGGGUUUACAGCAUCUGCAGCACCCGGAAACUUGGAAAUGCAAAUUCUUGGGUCCAGCCCUAAACCUAUUGCAGGAGACACAUUGGAGUGUGGCCCAGCUAUCUGUGUUUUAUUGAGUUUUCCAGGUGAUUCUGGGGCAUGCUAAAGUUUGAGAGCCACUGGCUUAGUGUCUGACCUCAGAAGACAAGUGGCCUGCUGGGACAUGAUUUAUCUUGGUAAAAGUAUCGUCAGUUCCUCUGUCCCCUUUGCUUGGUCGGGAGGGAUCCACCUGUAGUAAAGUGGAGAAUCCCUGUGAACCCAAGUUGCAUCCUGGCCUCCUGGGUGUUUUGUGUUAGCUGCAGGUCACAGGUGCUAGUCGGGGCUGUGCAGCACCCAGGAGACAGAAGCAAGUCGGCUGCAAGUGAAACCUCUCAUGUGGACAGCAGGGUCUCUCACAUCUCCUGUUAAAGCAGCACAUGUUCUACCUUUGUUCAGAUAGAAGCCAAUGUGUACUUCAAAGUGGCUUGAGGAUCUCUUUAGUUCUAUAUUCGAGAAUGAAGGAAAUGAAACUAGGGGAUCCCCUGGAGGAAUGACAGAUCAAUAACCAUUUCACCAGGUGGCAAAUUCAGUGGGUCCUACGUGGCAGUGUGUGGAGUGGGGGAGAAAUGAGUCAUACUCUAUCGUAAUUUCCAAAGAAAAUGGUACGUUCAUUUGUGAUGGCCACCUGGUCAAGACCACCUGGAGCUGUACCUGGUACACUAAGGUAAAGAGCUCAUCCUAACCUGUCCUGUCCUUGAAAGGUAAGCAUAUUCUCUACGCAGGGCUUACAUAAGUGCUGCAUUCCCUGGAGACAGAACAAGGCUCUUGACAGGCAGAUCAGUCAGACCUAACCGAUAAAUCCUUGGUAGUUUGGAUGAUUCUCUUAAUUUUGUCUGAUAGUACUGAAUUGCCUGAGAAAGUCCACUGGUUUCUUGCACAGCACAGUCUGAGAAUCGAGAUUAUUUUUUGUCUUUUUAAAGUGAAAAAGUUGUGCUUCUUAAUCUUUUUCUCUUCUCCACCUUCAGAGCUCUCACUGUGUUUUGGAGUGUGGUAAGUAUGGCCCCAGAAGGCCAGUAGAAUCCUGUGAUUUGUGCUCUGAUAAACCGCAUCCUGCCUGCCUUUUGGGGAUCUGUUAGUCCAUUUUCACACGGCUACAAAGACAUACCCAAGACUGGGUAAUUAAUAAAGAAAAGAGGUUUAAUUAACUCACAGUUCUGCAUGGCUGGGGAGGCCUCAGGAAACUUAACAUCAUGGCAGAAAGGGAAGAGGCACAUCUAACAUGGCAAGAGAGAGAAUGGUGAGUAGCAAAGAGGGAAGAGCCUCUUAUGAAACCAUCAAAUCUUGUGAGAACAAACUCACUAUCAUGAGAACAUCAUGUGGGAACCACCCGCAUGACCAAAUCACCUCCCACCAGGUUUCUCCUUAGACGUGGGAAUUAUGGGGCUUACAGUUCAGGAUCAGAUCUGGGUGGGACACAGCCAAACUGUAUCAGGCUCUGCUCCUUACGCCUAUCUGGAUUCCUUUUUCUUCCAAGAAGUGCUUUGUACUAGUGGCACUGUAAGCUAGACAAAAAGGUAUCAAAGUGCCAAGGGAAAGAAUCCAUAGUAUAUAUGUAGUGAACAUAAGUGACAUAAGUGACAGCUUUUUUCCAUGGAAGUUAAGGUGUUCCCAGUGUCCCUAAUUGGUUCCCGCAUAUGUGUGUGCAUGCACAUUCCGAGGGGGACAUACCCAUGGCUGCACCCACCCUGCAGAGACAGAGUAGACAGCUGUCCAUGGGCUGUGAUUGGAUUUUACUUCAGGGACCUCUUGAUGACUACCCCAGCUGGUCCAGGCCAAGUGCCUGCUGGAAAUUCCCAUAUCACUUACCUCUUUGGAGUUAGGCAUUGAAAGGUGUUUCAAUAUUUUCCAUGAGGUAGAGACAUUAUUAUUUAUUACUAUUUGGGCUUUAAUGAGUCUAUCAACUUAGAAGAGAAUGUGCCAGGCUUCCUCUUUUGGUAAUAAUGACGGGUGGAAGAGGAAACAGUAAGUUCUGAAAUGUUGUAGAAACGAAAACCACAGACUCAAGGAAUAGCAUGAGGACCCUGGUGAUGUGGUAAGAUAUGAAAUGAAAAAAGGGAAGUGGGAAAAUGGAAGAUAAAAUACCUCCAUAAGUCCACAGGUCAUUUCACAAGUUAUUUCUGCCUAUGGUUCCUAGUGACUGCCAUAAGCAAACUGUCUGUGGAGAUCCUCGCUCAGACACUGCUACGUUCUGCUACAGCACUGUUGCUUCAAAGGAUGUAUUCAUUUAUUAAAUACCUGGAGCAUGCCUAUACACUGUGGGUCUAUCAGGAAAACAAAACCUCAUUUAUUGUGUCUACUGGCUCUCCUCAUCUCCCCACUAAAAUGCAAGCUCCCUCAUGGGGAAAUGUGGUAUGUUAAGUGGUGUUAGAUGCUAUGGAGAGAAGUAAGGCAGCGAGUGUGAUGCUGUUUUAAAUAAGGUGGUCAGAGAAAGCUCACUAAAAGAGAGCAUUUGAGUGUAAAGGGAGUAAAGGGUGAGCAAGCCAGGCAGAUGUCAAUGUAGAGAUCAUUUCAGGCGGAGGGAAAGGUCCAUACAAGGCCGGGCAACCGGAGCAUGCCUGGCUUACAGAGGAAGAUCAAGGGGUGGGGGAGUGGCCAGCGUGGCCAGACCAAAGUGAGAAACAGGAGAACAGCGCCGAUGAGAUCAGACAGGUCAUGGGGUGGGGAGGGGGGGAAGGCGGGGAUGGAAUUUAAUAGGUUAUUCCAGGGGUUAGCAAACAUUUUCUGUAAAGGGCAAAAGAUGGUAAAUAUUUGUUCAGGCCCUAAGGUCUAUGUUUCAACUCCGUGACUUUGUCAUUAUACCAUGAAAGAGCCACAGAUAAGGUAAAUUAAUGAGUUGGGCUGUGUUUCAAUACAACUUUAUUUACCAAAGCAGUUUACAGGACAGAUUUUGCCCAUGCUGACCCUUUGGCUAUUGCAAUAAUCUGGAGCAGAGAUGAAGGUAUCUUGGAUCAGAAUUGUAACAGUAGCGGAAGCAAGAAGGGGUCAGAUAUUGGCUAUGUUUUGAAGGUAGAGCCAGCAGGAUUUGCUGUCAGACCAAAUACUCCACAGUUUUUGGUCUGAGCAAGUGGAGUCACACUGCUGAAAUGAGGAAAACCGAAAGAGGAGGUAGGUAGGAGGAGGGGCAUAAGGAAUCCAUUUGGGACAUGAAAAUUUGAGAUUCCUUUAGGAUAAAGGAAUUGGAUUCAAUGUUCCUUAACUCCCCUUCUAGCUCUAAUAUUCCAUGACUCUGCAACUGUGAGAGAAUGACGCCUACCCCAGUGGCUUCUGCCGUGAUCGUGUUCUUCAGGGAGACCUUCCACACUGUGUUACUCCAUCCUCCCAAAUGCAAGUGGUGAUUGUGUUGGCUAGAGAUAAGUUGCUGGAAGGAAGAAACACUGAAAGGGAGGCAACUGCCAGCUGCAACUAGCAGGGGGACUCGGAAGAGUGUCAUAAACGGUAUAUGUGCCGGAGGAGGCUGUGAGGGCUGGAGGCAAAUCCCUGUGUAUCUUAGUUUCCGGGAGGUUGCUAAUAAUGGAGUGUUGUCAGCAGAACGGGCUAAUGUUUAACAGGUUAUCAGAGAAAAGCAAUGCCGCUUCUUAAACUUCACAUCCACUCCAUGCUCAAAAUGGCCACACUUCAGAUGUGCUCACCCUCCAUAGAGGUGCUUUGGAGCCCUACACAGAUUCUGAUGGACUCUAUACGCCUGUAGGACACAGCCAUGGUCUUUUUCACUAGCUUCUCCAGGCAAUUUCCUCUGUCUUCGCUCUCAUCUCUCAUCACUGGGAUAUAUGUCUUCUGUCUGCCCAAAUUCGUCCCACUCAAAAGGUGGCUCUGUGCCAGUGGGAUUGUUUGCUAUAUGGAGAGCCUGCAAACCACUUUGGGAGUGAGCUGAUAGCAAUAUAUUUAAAAUAUGAGCAUUUAUCAGAAGCAGCAGAUGGAGGCAGCAGAGUGGAGCUCCCAGAACUGAGGGCAGGGAGUGUUUCAUUCAAGUGUAAAGGCGCACCAUCUAGACUCAGCUGGCACCAGCUCAUGAAACCAGUGAAGAGAAGGAGGGGAAAAAAAGGCCACCUUUGUGCUAGGUUCGGAAGGUCACAGCGUUCCCUGACCUUGAGUCCUCAGUGCCUCAAAGACAGCAUUCACUCUACGACUAGAAAAAACAAAAACCUUCCCCGUUGCUCUCUUUAAUAUUUUUUAACUUCCUUAAAGCUUAGUAAAUUGAAGAAAAAUUCUGAAGCUCAGAACAAAUGGAAAAAUAAGCCAUUUCAUCUACGUAUGCAUGCAUUAAUUCAUUCAACAAAUGUUUGUUACAUGGAUCAGGCAUGGCAGAAUCUAUGGAAUACUCUGGAGCAGAGAACAAUGAGGCAGAAAGAUAUGUUAUUGUAAUUAUUAAAGAUUAAACAUGUUGAAAGUAUUUUAAUUUUCAUUUUUUACCACCAUCCCCUAACCCACCCCUAAAAGUAAAAAUAUAUUUACAGCCUUUUCUACUCACUAUUUGAACUAAAAGAAGCAUAUGUUUUAGUGGUAAAUUUCCUCAGGAUACAAGUAACAACCUCAAUGCAUUAGUGGGAAAAGGACAACAAGAUUAAUUUCAAAUCACCUGUUUAAGAAGAAUACUGUGAUGGUGGCAUCCAUUUGCAAAAGUCAGAUUUAACACCUGAUAUGAGGUCUGCAAAAAGGGCCCCAAGUCACCCCACAGAGGGCUUAUACAUUACACCUAUAACAACAAACCUUUGGGGAAAUGCCUGCCUUCAGUUAUUUUUGAGAGACUUUGAAAAGUGACGUUAGUGAAUAAAUCACAUAUUUCUUCAUAUUGCCUUUAUAUGAGAGUUUCAAAAUAUGAAUCUUUGUGCUAUUAUAUAUGGAAGGUGUGGAUCUUUGGAACUGUGUAGAGCUGUUUUCUGAAAAAUUCUCCCCAAAUCCCCUGGUCAGAAUUAAUCACUCCUUCCCUUGGUUCCACCAGGGAGGUAUAAAGUCACAUUUAACGAUACCAAGUAAUGUAUGCAGCUGUUUCUCAUGAUGCAUUGUGAAUUUGCCGAAAGAAUCUGUAGCUCAGUACCUGGCACACAAUUGACACUUGAGUAUGUUAAAUACAAGAGCAGAGAUUGCAGAAAUUGUUGAAGUUAUAAUGAAGGAAAAAAAAAGGUUACCAAAUGUCCAUUUUUAUCAUACUAUCUUCGGGGUAAAAUAGAUAUAUUGGAAACCUUCCACUUUAAUGGAUGACCAUAGCUUAUCUACAUGCUCUCAAACAGUUGUUUUUUUUUAAUUUUUAAAGUCAUUUAUUCCACAGUUUUUGUUAAACAUUUACUCAGUUUUAGAUUGUGUGAUUCAUUGUGGGGUGCAAAAGUAAUUAAGAAGCAUUCCUGAUGUAGUGAGUAAAAUUAAGAAGAGAAGCUCGCUUUUUUUCCCCCCUAAACGGGCUUGCCAACAGAACACGGUGGUCAUGAAAACUACCCCUAAAAGCCAAAAUGGGAAAGGAAAAGACUCAUAUCAACAUUGUCGUCAUUGGACACAUAGAUUCGGGCAAGUCCACCAUUACUGGUCACCUAAUCUACAAAUGCAGUGGCAUCGACAAAAGAUCCACUGAAAAAAUGGAGAAGGAGGCUGCUGAGAUGGAAAAGGGCUUCUUCAAGUAUGCCUGGGUGUUGGAUGAACUGAAAGCUGAGCAUGAACAUGGCAUCCCCAUUGAUAGCUCCUUGUGGAAAUUUGAGACCAGCAAGUACUACAUGACUAUCAUUGAUGCCCAGGACACAGAGACUUCAUCACAAACGUGACUACAGGGACAUCUCAUGCUGACUGCGCUGUCUUAAUUGUUGCUGCUGGUGUUGGUGAAUUUGAAGCUGGUAUCUCCAAGAAUGGACAGACCCGAGAACACACCCUUCUGGCCUACACACUGGGUGUGAAACAACUAAUCGUUGGUGUUAACAAAACGGAUUCCACUUAGCCACCCUACAGCCAGAAGAGACAUGAGAAAAUCAUUAAGGAAAUCAGCACUUACAUUAAGAAAAUUGGCUACAACCUCGACACAGUAGCAUUUGUGUCAAUUUCUGGUUGGAAUGGUGACAACAUGCUGGAGCCUAGUGCUAACGUGCCUUGGUUCAAGGGAUGGAAGUCACCCAUAAGGGUGGCAAUGCCAGUGGAACCACGCUGCUUAAGGCCGUGGACUGCAUCCUACCACCAGCUCAUCCAACUGACAAGCCCUUGCGCCUGCCUCUCCAGGAUGUCUAUAAAAAUUGGUGGUAUCGGUACUGUUCCUGUUGGCCGAGUGGAGACUGGCGUUCUCAAACCUGGUAUGGUGGUCACCUUUGCUCCAGUCAACGUUAUAACUGAAGUAAAAUCUGUUGAAAUGCACCAUGAAGCUUUGAGUGAAGCUCUUCUGGGGACAAUGUGGGCUUCAAUGUCAAGAAUGUGUCUGUCAAGGAUGUUUGUUGUUGCAACGUUGCUGGUGACAGCAAGAAUGACCCAUCAAUGGAAGCGGCUGGUGUCACUGCCCAGGUGAUUGUCCUGAACUAUCCAGGCCAAAUCAGGGCUGGCUAUGCCCCCUACCGGAUUGCCACACCGCUCACAUUGCAUGCAAGUUUGCUGAGCUGAAGGAAAAGAUUGACCACCGUUCUGGUAAAAGGCUGGAAGAUGGCCCUAAAUUCUUGAAGUCUGGUGAUGCUGCCAUCGUUGAUAUGGUUCCUGGCUAGCCCAUGUGUGUUGAGGGCUUCUCAGACUAUCCACCUCUCAGUCGCUUUGCUGUUUGUGAUAUGAGACAGACGGUCGCCGUGGGUGUCAUCAAAGCAGUGGACAAGAAGGCCGCUGGAGCUGGCAGAGUCACCCAGUCUGCCCAGAAAGCUCAGAAGGCUAAAUGAACAUUAUCUAUAAUACCUGCCACCUCAGUCUUAAUCAGUGGUGGAGGAAGAACCAUCUCAGAACUGUUUGUUUCAAUUGGCCAUUUAAGUUUAGUAGUAAAAGACUGGUUAAUGAUAACAAUGCAUUGUAAAACCUUGAGAAGGAAAGGAAAAUGUUUUGUGGACCACUUUGGUUUUCUAUUUUGCGUGUGGCAGUUUUACUAGUUUUUAAAAUCAGUACUUUUUAAUGGAAACAACUUGAUCAAAAAUUUGUCAGGGAAUUUUGAGACCCAUUAAAAAAGUUUAAUGAGGAAAAAAAAAAAAAAGAAUAUAAGGUCAUAAUGACAUGGGAUGGGCCAGUGUGAUGGAUGUCCAGUAUGGCGGGUGUCCUUAUGAAAAGAGGACAGACAGGGAUGAGGAAAAAUGUCACGUGAAGACAGGGGAAUAA